rnacentral:rRNA from 1 species
GAUGAACGCUGGCGGCGUGCCUAAUACAUGCAAGUCGAGCGAACAGACGAGGAGCUUGCUCCUCUGACGUUAGCGGCGGACGGGUGAGUAACAUGUGGAUAACCUACCUAUAAGACUGGGAUAACUUUGGGAAACAGGAGCUAAUACCGGAUAAUAUAUUGAACCGCAUGGUUCAAUAGUGAAAGACGGUAUUGCUGUCACUUAUAGAUGGCCCCGCGCCGCAUUAGUUAGUUGGUAAGGUAACGGCUUACCAAGGCAACGAUGCGUAACCGACCUAAAAGGGUGAUCGGACACACUGGAACUGAGGCACGGCCCAGACACCUAGAGGGGGCAACAGUAGGGAAUCUUCCGCGAUGGAGGAAAGCCGAACGGAGCAACGCGGCGUGAGUGAUGAAGGUCUUCGGAUCGUAAAACUCUGUUAUUAGGGAAGAAGAAAUGUGUAAGUAACUAUGCACAUCUUGACGGUACCUAAUCAGAAAGCCACGGCUAACUACGUG